GGUGAGGUAGCGAAGUGGUCAAACGCGCUGGAAUUAGGUUAUCUAAUGCAUCCAGUCUUCGGUUCGCGAGUUCGAAUCUCGCCCUCAUCA